CUCAGCCCUUUUGGGUAAGCGGAAAGAUGGUGGGCCGCAGAACAUGUGCUUGUUUGGUGUCAUAUGUCUGCCGACCAUCACCUUUAAGAGCCCCCGUCCUGCGG
rnacentral:pre_miRNA from 1 species